rnacentral:rRNA from 1 species
AGUGAACGCUGGCGGUAGGCCUAACACAUGCAAGUCGAACGGCAGCACAGUAAGAGCUUGCUCUUACGGGUGGCGCGUGGCGGACGGGUGAGGAAUACAUCGGAAUCUACUUUUUCGUGGGGGAUAACGUAGGGAAACUUACGCUAAUACCGCAUACGACCUACGGGUGAAAGCAGGGGAUCUUCGGACCUUGCGCGAUUGAAUGAGCCGAUGUCGGAUUAGCUAGUUGGCGGGGUAAAGGCCCACCAAGGCGACGAUCCGUACCUGGUCUGAGAGGCUGAUCAGCCACACUGGAACUGAGACACGGUCCAGACUCCUACGGGAGGCAGCAGUGGGGAAUAUUGGACAAUGGGCGCAAGCCUGAUCCAGCCAUACCGCGUGGGUGAAGAAGGCCUUCGGGUUGUAAAGCCCUUUUGUUGGGAAAGAAAAGCAGCAGGUUAAUACCCCGCUGUUCUGACGGUACCCAAAGAAUAAGCACCGGCUAACUUCGUG